GCCGGGGCGGGGCGGGGGGCGCGCCCGCGUGGAGAAUCGAGCGGAAUCAAGCAGCCCCGCGUUUGCUUUGGCAGCUGCGAAGGUGCACAGGUGCACGGGGAGGGGCUGGCGCGGCCUCGGCGGGAGGUCAUUAGCGGAGCCUCGCCUCGGGCGCCCAAAUUCGCGAGUUGCGUAAGCGGCGCUCCCGGCACGGGGCAGCGGGAGGUGCGCGGGCCCGCCGCCUGCCGCCGCCUGCCGCCUCCCUGUGGCCCACCGCGACAGCCUCAUGCCCACAGCCCCCGCUUUGCACUAGAUGCUACGUUGAACUGUUUCUCUCCUUGCUUCUGCUGACGCUGGCCCGCCUGCCUGGCUUGCCUCCCGCCUACCUUUGCCCGACUGAUUCCACUAGCCCUUUAAGACUCGGAUCUGUCACUUUGCCCAGCAGCUACCCCUCCCCGCCGGUAGGUGCUCGCCCUCUGGGCUCCUUGGCUUCCUGUUUACACCUCUGUGACUGCGCUGGGUUUUGCACACGGUUUUGUGUAUCCUUCCUCAAGUUCCUUGAAGCGAAGGGCCAUAGAAGGAGCCUCUUGCCCUCAAAGAGCUUUCCAUCUCCUUAGAGAAGUAAGGCUAGCCAUAGAACCGUGGAACUGCUACAGAACAAUCGAGGAGGCUACAUUCAGGAGCUGAUCUGGGUGAUACACAAAGAUGGUGGGAGCAGGGUCUCAAUCCAUUGGGGUCAGGGAACUGUGACAGCCCCGGUGAUGUGCUGCCAGUUUAAUUAGGAUUCCUGGCUGAUUGGUGGAGUCAAGCCUUUAGCAAAAACAGUAUUGCUACAUUUUUACAGAUUAAAGGGGUGGUGACUUCCAAAGGGUCAUUGGCACCCUUUCCUAAAACACAUGGAUUUCAACAGGCCUCUCUGAUUAGGGAGGGAGGGUGGAGAGUGGGGGAGCCUGAUUAGAAAUCAGCAGAACUUGGGUAUUUUGUGACACAGUCCUGGUGGGUACAUCUGUUACAAACUGAGUAUCUUCUGAAUUCAAGUCCCAUUUAGUUUCACUUUGAUUUUGCUGAUCCGUGGCCUGUGGCACGCUGAGUGUCAAAGAAGGAAGUAAAAUCUUUGGCCAGAUUUUGUUUUUAACUACUUAAAAGGGAAGUGAUAUGACAAGUGGAAGGAAAAGUGCAUAGAAUUGAACAUCAAAUCCGUGGGAUGUUGAACCUUAGAUUCCUUAUCUGUAAAGCGAGUGGGUUGGCCUGGGCGGUCUUUAAGGUCCCUUCUGGCUCUAACAUUCUACACUUUUAGGAUUUUAAUUCCUGGUUGACAUUUGGCUAACCAGAAGACACCGGAUGAGAGACCAGCUUAUUAAAGAACAUCUCUCUAGGGACGACUGGAGUGAGCACUGGCCUGGGAGUCUGAAGAUUGUGCCUUUAGAUCUUCUUCAUCACGAAAGCUGGUGACUUUCAGCAAUCACCUAGCUUCUCUGGGACUUAUUUUCCUUAUCUAUAGCUACUAAGAAGGGAUUAGAUUAGGUGAUUUAUUGAAGAUCCCUCUGGCUCUUAAUUUCUACUUGCCAGUCUUAAGAAUGGUUUGUUAGUAAUGGCUAGGUCAGGAGCUCUCUGACGUUGGAGUCAAUUUAUGGCUUCAAAUCCAAGCUCUGCCACUCACUUCCCUUUGGCCUUUUGCUCAGCUCCUCUGCACCUAAGUUUCCUUUUCUGUUACAUGGGGAUGUCUGCUCUGUCCACUUCAGAAGACUCUCGCAGAGGUUAAAUGUGUGUGAGAGAACUUGCUAAACUUUAAAUGUUGUAUAUAUUUUACGAGGUAUUCGUUGCUGCUUCAGAUGUUGAUCAGCGGAGAUAAAUCUUCAAGGUGUUACUGGGGAGAAGCCUGGCUCUGAAAUGAAGCAGGCAGCUGGAGGUUGACUUUGUGAGUUCUCCUGUUGGGAGUUCUAGAGGCAGAGGAGCCUUGGCCCUGCUUUGGUGGUGGUGGUGGGGAUGGUGGCUUGUGCACUUGUGUAGCAAUCUGGGAAGUAAGAAGGGAAACAGGGCACAGCUCAGCAAGAAGGGAAGCCUUCAGCCAGGAUGAAGUGGUGCGGCGAACGUCACCCGCCGUGACCCUCAAGGACCUGUCUUCCCCUUUUUUCUGGGGGGUCGGGUGAGGUGAGAAGAAAAAUGGCUAAUUGUUAAAAAGUACACGUGGAGAAAGUCGUAAAACUGUAAGGCUAUCUGAAGUAUUGUUGGAUUCUGGGAAAUUCUAUUUUCCUUAUUCUCUGUAUUUUCCAAAUUUUCCAUAAUGAAUAUGUAUUUUUUGAAUCAGAAAAAUAAAAAGUUUUUAAAAAUUGGAGGAGAUCGUUUUUACAAAUGUGGGUUCAUCUUUCUUCCUGCUUUUCUCAUUUUAUUAAAGAUAUAAUAAAAAUGUUAUUGAAAUUAGGAUAUGUUGUGUCUUCCAAAUCAAUGUUAGAUUUCUGUGCUUUUUACCUAUAUGUUUUUAUAGUUUGAAGGGGCUGGGAUGUUGAAACCACCUAUUUAAAUUCUUUGGAAAUAUUUAAAAAACAGUUUUAUCAGGUUUAAGAAAGUUUUGAGUACAACAGAAUACUAAAAACUUAGCAUGCCCCCUAAAUCUGUCUUAUCACCUCUAUUUCAUGAAAAAAAAAUUCAAAAAUAGUUUAUCAUUGACCUGUAAGUCCUACUUUUAGGAAUUCAUCCUGAGGCAAUAAUUGGACAAGUACAUGAAGGGAGAGGAAUGUUCAUCACAGAGCUUUUUUAUAUGAUAGAAGAAAUGUGAGCCAACUUAAACAUAUAAAAAUAGAGGAUUAGCUUACAAGUCAUGCUGUCAUUAAUGGGACCAUAGAUGUAUUUGACAUACAAAUAUAUCAAUUCCCAUCAUUAAGUUAAAAAGCCUAUUAGCAAAGCUAUCUAUCUCUCUACACAAAAAUUCCAUUUUCUAUUCAAAGAAAGGGGGUCUACAUAGACUUAGAGACAAAUGUGUGAAAAGAUAUCUGUUGGUAGUUGUUGACUUUAGAUAGUGGGAUUAUGGACUUUCUCCCCCUGACUUAUUUUCUCAUUUUUCCAUGACAAAUAUGUAUUACUUGUUAACUUUUUAAAGGUGAAAAUAACUUUUUAAAGUUGAAAAUAGUUUUGUGAAAUAAGAUGGCUAAAUGGACUCAGGUUGUGUGACAAAACAUUUAUUAAAUAACAAAAUAAAUGUAUCAUUUUCUGUAUAAAAAGUCUUUUUUCCUAUGUUUAUUCUCAGUUGGACAUAUAUUAGGAAAUUUCUUAAUACACAAGAUUGAUUCUAAUUGUUAUUAAAUAUAAUAUUAAUUAUUAACUUGUUAAUUAGCAUGUGAACUAACGUGAGCCACUUGAUUCUUCAACACCUCAGGUUCUUUUUCACUGAAAUGGAGCUAAUAUUUCAUUAAUAAGUUUGUUGUGGGGAUUUAAGAGGCUGUGGUAAACAAUGAUCCCAUAAUUAUAUGUGUGAAAGUACUGUGGAACGCGUGGGCUACUUAACUACCAACAAUUGUUAAUUAUUCACUAAUCAACAAUAAUAGUAUUUGCUGGGUACUUGAAAACUAUUAGUACUUGCUUAGUAAAUAAGAUUAAGAGAAGGAGCCUACAAAUGACUAGUAAGUGGAAAACAAUAAUUAAUACACUGCUAUGGGUAAGUUCUAACAAGGAAGAACAUUUUAUAUGCUGUUGGUAUUCAAGGCCAGCGAAGUCACUGAGAAUGAUUAGGGGGGUAGGAAAACUAUGGAAGAGGACAAUGCCUUCCAUGUGGAAAUGGUUCUUGAACUGGCCUUGAAAAUGGGAAGGAUGUGGCUGAACAAUGGAAAGCAUUAGCAACAUGAAUAAGAAGAUAGAGAUGAGAGACAGCUGGGUGGUCUACUCAGCUGGUGAGGAGAAUGGCUUGGCUGAAGUGGAUGGUUUGAAUUAGUGAAUGUGUUGGUUAGAUAAACUCAGGGCCAGAUCACGGGGAACACCAAAACCUGCACAAAGAAGUACCAAGUUGGUAGAAGAAAUAGGAUUCCAACCCCAAGACCCUUUCACUCUCAGCAGAUGAUCCAGGAAUAUCUGUUUCCACAGCUGAACUGACAAACUCACCUGGAUCUGCAUCUGUCCUUUCCUCUUACAUCAAUGAAAGCUACUGUGGAUGAUCUGUUUACCUCUAUGCUUUGCACCGUGUGUGUGUGUGUGAAAAUGUCCCCCUUUUGAACCAUUAUAACCAUUUUUUAGGUGUACAAUUUAGUGGCAUUAAUUACAUGAUGUUGUGCAACCAUCACCAGUAUCUAUUUCAAGAAACUACCCAUGAAGCGAUAACUCCUCAUCCCCUGGUAACCUCUGAUUUACUUUCCAUCAUUACGUAUUUGACUACUCUAGAUACCUCAUGUAAGUGGAAUCAUACAGUAUUUGUCUUUUUGUGUCUGGCUUAUUUCACUUGGCCUAAUGUUUUCAAAGUUCAUCUAUGUCAUAGCCUAUAUUAGAACCUCAUUACUUUUUAUGUCUGAAUAAUAUUCCACUACAGAGAUUGUCCAUUUGAAAUGAAAUGACAAUAGAAGAGGGUAGUUUUUCCUUUUGUUUUUAAGGCCAUAUAUGAAAAAUGUUGUCAACUUUAUGUCAGUACCCUGGAAUUUGAAUUUCUUGGACUCUUUGCACAUCAACCAAAGUCUGAGAACCACACUCUAGUACAUGUUGCAUCCUUUGCAAUGUUCCAGUUCCUUUUGGCACCAUUGUUAUACGUUUUCAGUUAGGCUCAAAGGGUGCUUGCUGACAGCUGUCUUUUCUUUUAUUCAUGUCUCCACAUAACAUGAAAUUUUCCAUCAAGAGAAACAGCUUUCCAUUUUUUGGCACUAGAGCUUUCCAAGGAAGUGAGAGGAUGCUUUCCUGAUGUGAUGCAAUGAUAAGACAGAGAGCCUUUACUUCUACACGGAGUGAAGAGGCUAGUGGGAGUGACUCUGAAAGAGGAAGAGAGUGAGGGAGACCACAAGCAGGAGGGAGGAGCAGGCUCCCACAGAGCAGGG